rnacentral:rRNA from 1 species
GACGAACGUUGGCGGCGUGCUUAAUACAUGCAAGUCAACUGAAGCAGUGUUAUCAAUAUCGCUUUGGAGGUGGCGCACGGGCGAGUAACACGGAGGUGAUCCGACUUCAGGUCUGCCAUAACUCCGGGAAACCGGGGCUAAUAGCAGUUGAUGCAGCGGCGCGACAUCGAGACCGAUGUCAAAGCUAUGGCGACUUAAGAUGAGCCUCCGUCUGAUUGUCUAGGUGGCGGGGUCACGGCCCAUCAAGGCAACGAUUAGUAGCUUGACUUAUAGGAUGAUCAGCAAAAAUGGAACUGAGAAUGGGGCCAGACUACGACGGGAGGCAGCAGUAAGGAAGAUUGCUCAAUGGGUGAAUGCCUGAAGCCGCAACGCACCGUGAGGGACGAUGUGCUUUGGAUUGUAAACCUCUGUAGUGAGAGAAAAAAAUCUCAAUCUUUGGGACAUGAUGGUAACUCAAAAGUAAGCCCCGGCUAACUACGUG